AGAAUAUUGCCAAGCGACUGUUGUUGCUGCUGCUGCUGCUGCUGCAGCUGCUGCAACAUUCUUCCCGUUAUGCGCAAUCAACUUUGCCUGCAUAUUUAUUGGAGGCCAUAUCUCAGUGCAACGGCGAAGAUGGCGGCGGCGGCGGCGACGGUGGCAGCAACGGCGGUGACGGCGCCCAUUCACCAACACAAAACCAAAAUAAUAAGUGCACGCGAUUAAAU